rnacentral:misc_RNA from 1 species
AGAAAACUCAACCAGCAAAAACAUAGACAUGAAAUAAUACUCGAUCAGUUUUCACUAUCUUCAAGAGUAUUUCACUUUCCAUUUCUCCAACCUCUAGAUAACAGACAAUUCCAAUUAAACCUGGUCAUAACAACAGCCACUCUCAAAUUUCUUGAGACAAAUUUAACCUAACCAUGAAUCAUAUCAUAUAAUUCACCUCUGCACAUUAUCCUUCCACCCAAAUUAUAA